GUUUCUCCGGCUGGUGCCAAAAAUGACAUUCUUUGGCAGGGCACAGGGCUGCUGUAAAGCACUACUCAGGAACACAAUGUUCGGGACGCUGGAUGCAGCAAAGAAGCACUCUUAGAUUAAACAAGACCAAUGUGAUAACUGCUGAGCUCUUAUGGAAAACAACACAGUCGAAGCAUUACUACUGUUGAAAUAUUACUGUAACAUUACAGGAACAGUCACUUAGUGAAGUUGUCCUCUUUUUUGGUCCACUUUGCCGAGUGAUUGAUUGACACUUCCUCCAGCCAAUAGGCCACUCAAUCUCCUGGCUGUGGUCCUGGCCCAACAGAGGGGAGAUGAGAGUUAUUCUGCCUGCAAUGCCAAGGGUAAUGAGAACAACGCCACCACUGUAUCUGGCUUCCCGGGGUCUGUGCCAGUCUACGGGCCUCUCUCUCCAUCCAUGGCCGAGCUCCCCUCACCCUCAGUCAGCCACGGAUGGAGAUGGUAGUAGGGCUAGGAUAGAGGAUGGAGAUGGUAGUAGGGCUGGGUUAGAGGAUGGAGACGGUAGUAUGGCUGUGUGUGGUAGGGCUGGGAUAUAGGAUGGAGAUGGUGGUAUGGCUGUGUGUGGUAGGGCUGGGUUAGAGGAUGGAGAUGGCAGUAUGGCUGUGUGUGGUAGGGCUGGGAUAGAGGAUGGAGAUGGUAGUAUGGCUGUGUGUGGUAGGGCUGGGAUAGAGGAUGGAGAUGGCAGUAUGGCUGUGUGGUAGGGCUGGGAUAGAGGAUGGAGAUGGUAGUAUGGCUGGGUUAGAGGAUGGAGAUGCUAGUAUGGCUGGGAUAGAGGAUGGAGAUGGUAGUAUGGCUGGGAUAGAGGAUGGAGAUGGUAGUAGGGCUGGGAUAGAGGAUGGAGAUGGUAGUAUGGCUGUGUGUGAUGGUAGUGGGAUAGAGGAUGGAGAUGGUAGUAUGGCUGGGAUAGAGGAUGGAGAUGGUAGUAUGGCUGUGUGUGGUAGGGCUGGGAUAUAGGAUGGAGAUGGUGGUAUGGCUGUGUGUGGUAGAGCUGGGUUAGAGGAUGGAGAUGGCAGUAUGGCUGUGUGGUAGGGCUGGGAUAGAGGAUGGAGAUGGUAGUAUGGCUGUGUGUGGUAGGGCUGGGAUAGAGGAUGGAGAUGGUAGUAUGUCUGUGUGUGGUAGGGCUGCGAUAGAGGAUGGAGAUGGCAGUAUGGC
ensembl:lncRNA